ACACACCUACAAGAUUUAAACAAAUACAUGAUAAAUCAGCAGAAAAAUAACUUAAAGAUGUAAAAUUUAUAUGUCUAAAAGUUAAAACCGUUAGAGAGGAAUUGUUUACGGUAAUGCCCACCAGUUAUAGACUCUCUGCUGGUCGGAGUUUACGGAGACAGCCGAGCGUCUGGUUGAACGAGACUAUCUGU